rnacentral:lncRNA from 1 species
UUCCUUGGGUGUUCCAGCUCCAAGAUAACCUACAUUCCUUGGAUUGUGGCCCCUUCCUCCAUUUUUAUAGCCAGAAGCAGAACAUCUCUGAAACCCUUUCCUGAACCUGAUAUUGGGCUCACCCUGCUCUUAUACAAUCCACCCCAUGGACGAGAGGAUCACUGUCUCCUCAGUACAAUGGCUCACUAAUCUCUUCUGUGGAGUGACAAUCAG